AUGUCUAGCUUGGACUGCCCACAAGUGCAGUUUUCAAAAAUGCUUCUGGCCUCUUUUCCCCAUAUUCUCACACUGGGGUUCAGAUAUCUGGCUCUUUUCCUCAAAACUGGCCUAUCCAGCCAGUCGUCCUGUGAGACUUCGGGCCCCAGAGUCCAUCAACUCCUACUGGAAGUUUUCUUGUGGUCCUUCGGAUCAGACUUUCUUGUAUUUCUUUGAUGUCAACAAAUAUUGGUUGAGCAUCUGUUAUGGGUUAGGGAUGGAGCUACAGGUAAGGGCUGGUUCAAAAACGAGACACACUGCUUGUCUUUCAGGAGCUCACAGUCCAGGGGAAGGGACAGCCUGGGAAUCAGGGAACCAGGCAACCACCAUAUAUAUACAAAGGGAUGGCUCUAAGGUGCUCUCUUCUGUGUCAGAUGAGGACUCCCUUCACAUUUGGCUGUCAUCUAUCAGCCACAACCGUCCUGUCCCAAAGAGCUGGCUUUGGCUUUAAAGCCUGCUUCCUGGCUGGGCUUCUCCACCACUCCAUUAAGGAUACCGUUUGAGAUCACAUGUGCUACAGGUGCUGUUGAUGGAAGUGCUAAAGGAGCUGGACGGGACUGACGUCUUUGGGAAGGCUGAACGAGGGCCAUGCUUGGGACAACACCAGCAGAGCCUUCCAGCAGACAGGCCAGGGAGGAAGCCAGGGUCAGCGAGUGAAGAGGAGAGCAGCGCCAUUUAAAGCAACACGAUUUAUCCCCAAAGGAAUCACAUGUCUGAUGCAGUGGAAGGACAGUGCCCUAAAAGAAAGGGUGGCAUGCUGGACAGCCAAAAGAACAAACGUCCACUACACGUAAUGUGAGCACCAGGUUUGGAUGUGAUCCAUCUCUGUACAAGACUGGCGGCAAUUCACGUCGAAUGGAUAAACAGAGGAUAAAGGCCUUGUUCAGUGUCACACACUUCUGUCACCAACUGAGACACAAUGGAUGUCAGUCUUCUCAUUCCUUCAACAAUAAAGAGCUUUCAAGCGCUUACAGUCAACAAGAACUUGGAAAGAUUACACUGACUGAAAGGCAUAUACAUGGAGGACAUCCACAAAUAGGAGGAAAUUAACUUGAAGCUGAGUGUCUAACUUCACUGACUCUCAGUGGCAGAGAUAGAAGAAAAGUAAAGUUUUAGCAAGGAAGGGCUGAAAGAAAAUAAAUUAAAUAUAGCUAACUAUCGAGUACUGUUUUUAUAUAGUAAGACAAGUGAAAAAUACUCCUUUUUAGGUGCUAAUUCCUAUCUCUUAACAGAAUCAUCCAUUCAUUCAAUAAAUACUUACUGAUUGCCUUUUAUGUGCCAAGUCCUCAUUUCUGUAGUGGAAAUGUAACAAUGAGCAGAGCAGAUAAUAAAGUAAUAACAAUAAUAGCUAUUAUGGCAGGGACCAAUAAUAUAUUAAUAAUUGAUAACCGGUGAA